UGGGGAAUUUUGCGCAAUGGGGGAAACCCUGACGCAGCAACGCCGCGUGAGUGAUGAAGGCCUUCGGGUCGUAAAGCUCUGUCAGAGGGAAAGAAGUGCAGUGGUGCUAAUACCACCAUUGCUUGACGGUACCCUCAAAGGAAGCACCGGCUAACUCCGUGCCAGCAGCCGCGGUAAUACGGAGGGUGCGAGCGUUGUUCGGAAUUAUUGGGCGUAAAGCGCGUGCAGGCGGUCUUUUAAGUCUGAUGUGAAAGCCCCGGGCUCAACCUGGGAAGUGCAUUGGAAACUGGGAGACUUGAAUACGGGAGAGGGUAGUGGAAUUCCUAGUGUAGGAGUGAAAUCCGUAGAUAUUAGGAGGAACACCGGUGGCGAAGGCGGCUACCUGGACCGAUAUUGACGCUGAGACGCGAAAGCGUGGGGAGCAAACAG
rnacentral:rRNA from 1 species